CUCUGUCACUCCUACGGGAGGCAGCAGUGGGGAAUAUUGCACAAUGGGCGCAAGCCUGAUGCAGCCAUGCCGCGUGUGUGAAGAAGGCCUUCGGGUUGUAAAGCACUUUCAGUCGUGAGGAAGGUAGUGUAGUUAAUAGCUGCAUUAUUUGACGUUAGCGACAGAAGAAGCACCGGCUAACUCCGUGCCAGCAGCCGCGGUAAUACGGAGGGUGCGAGCGUUAAUCGGAAUUACUGGGCGUAAAAGCGCAUGCAGGUGGUUUGUUAAGUCAGAUGUGAAAGCCCGGGGCUCAACCUCGGAAUAGCAUUUGAAACUGGCAGACUAGAGUACUGUAGAGGGGGUAGAAUUUCAGGUGUAGCGGUGAAAAUGCGUAGAGAUCUGAAGGAAUACCGGUGGCGAAGGCGGCCCCCUGGACAGAUACUGACACUCAGAUGCGAAAGCGUGGGGAGCAAACAGGAUUAGAUACCCUGGUAG
rnacentral:rRNA from 1 species